AGGCGGGGAACCUGAGGCGCAGGCU
rnacentral:miRNA from 1 species